GACGGGUUAGUAACGCGUGGGAAUGUACCCUUCUCUACGGAAUAGCCUCGGGAAACUGAGAGUAAUACCGUAUACGCCCUUCGGGGGAAAGAUUUAUCGGAGAAGGAUCAGCCCGCGUAAGAUUAGAUAGUUGGUGGGGUAAUGGCCUACCAAGUCUACGAUCUUUAGCUGGUUUUAGAGGAUGAUCAGCAACACUGGGACUGAGACACGGCCCAGACUCCUACGGGAGGCAGCAGUGGGGAAUCUUGGACAAUGGGCGCAAGCCUGAUCCAGCCAUGCCGCGUGUGUGAUGAAGGCCUUAGGGUCGUAAAGCACUUUCGCUAGAGAUGAUAAUGACAGUAUCUAGUAAAGAAGUCCCGGCUAACUCCGUGCCAGCAGCCGCGGUAAUACGGAGGGGACUAGCGUUGUUCGGAAUUACUGGGCGUAAAGCGUACGUAGGCGGAUCAGAAAGUAUGGGGUGAAAUCCCAGGGCUCAACCCUGGAACUGCCUCAUAAACUCCUGGUCUAGAGUUCGAGAGAGGUGAGUGGAAUUCCGAGUGUAGAGGUGAAAUUCGUAGAUAUUCGGAGGAACACCAGUGGCGAAGGCGGCUCACUGGCUCGAUACUGACGCUGAGGUACGAAAGUGUGGGGAGCAAACAGGAUUAGAUACCCUG
rnacentral:rRNA from 1 species